rnacentral:rRNA from 1 species
GACAGAGGUCCCGAGCGUUAGGCGGAAUCACUGGGCUUAAAGCGCGUGUAGGCGGGUCUUUUAAGUCAGGGGUGAAAUGCCAAGGCUCAACCUUGGAACUGCCUUUGAUACUGGCGAUCUCGAGUCCGGGAGAGGUGAGUGGAACUGCGAGUGUAGAGGUGAAAUUCGUAGAUAUUCGCAAGAACACCAGUGGCGAAGGCGGCUCACUGGCCCGGUACUGACGCUGAGGUGCGAAAGCGUGGGGAGCAAACAGGG